rnacentral:rRNA from 1 species
GACGAACGCUGGCGGCGUGCUUAACACAUGCAAGUCGAACGGCAAGGCACUGCUUUUGUGGGGUGCUCGAGUGGCGAACGGGUGAGUAACACGUGAGUAACCUGCCCUUGACUUUGGGAUAACUUCAGGAAACUGGGGCUAAUACCGGAUAGGAGCUCCUGCUGCAUGGUGGGGGUUGGAAAGUUUCGGCGGUUGGGGAUGGAUUCGCGGCUUAUCAGCUUGUUGGUGGGGUAGUGGCUUACCACGGCUUUGACGGGUAGCCGGCCUGGGAGGGUGACCGGCCACAUUGGGACUGAGAUACGGCCCAGACUCCUACGGGAGGCAGCAGUGGGGAAUAUUGCACAAUGGGCGGAAGCCUGAUGCAGCAACGCCGCGUGCGGGAUGACGGCCUGCGGGUUGUAAACCGCUUUCGCCUGUGACGAAGCGGGAGUGACGGUAAUGGGUAAAGAAGCACCGGCUAACUACGUG